UACGAAGGAGGCUAGCGUUGCUCGGAAUCACUGGCGUAAAGGGUGCGUAGGCGGGUCUUUAAGUCAGGGUGAAAUCCUGGAGCUCAACUCCAGAACUGCCUUUGAUACUGAGGAUCUUGAGUACGGGAGAGGUGAGUGGAACUGCGAGUGUAGAGGUGAAAUUCGUAGAUAUUCGCAAGAACACCAGUGGCGAAGGCGGCUCACUGGCCCGUAACUGACGCUGAGGCACGAAAGCGUGGGAGCAAACAGG
rnacentral:rRNA from 1 species